GGGUCAGUAGGUUGGUCGUGCCACCGGUACGUACUGGUCUCACUGAUUCCUCCUUCCUGAAGAACCGUAAUGCCAUUAAUUUGGUGUUGCGGGGAAACAGGACUGUUACUUUGAAAAAAUUAGAGUGUUUAAAGCAAGCUGACGCUUGAAUACAUUAGCAUGUAAUAAUGAAAUAGGACGAUCGAUCCUAUUUUGUUGGUUUCUAGGAUUGACGUA
rnacentral:rRNA from 1 species